CCUAGCGCCGCCCCAUCGCCACUUUCUCUCUCUUCGCUCAUACAUGCCAAAAAUGGCAAAGUGACAGAGGCAGCAGGGUGCUACAGGCUUUGCAUAGCCGAUAAUGGCAACGCAUUAAUUGAAACCAUCGUUUCUUCACCAAACACCACCCUAACAUGGUAACGAGUACAACUCUGUCUCAAUACUAUUUCAAACCCUCAAAUCUCAUUGGUUUGUCCGAAACUAUGAGGAUCCGUUGGGGUUUGUUCAAAUCUGACCAUCUAUUAGGGUGCAAAAAGGGUCUCCAAGUCUGUUCCUCGACCAAGGCUGCACCAAGAGGAGGUAAUUUGCUUUCAUUUCUUUCAUUUUUAGUUAUGUAAGUGUUUGUUUGUUAUGUUUGUAUUAUGUUAAUUAUGUGAUUAGUUUAGAGUUAUAACUGGUUGAAUUAGUUAUUUUUGUGAUUAGUUUAAAUUCGUAGCUGUUAGUAGUUAGCAGAGAUUUGUAGUUUGUUAAUCAUGUCUUAGUUAACCAUAUGAUUAGUCUAGACUUGUAAUUUGUUAAUCAUGUGUUUAGUUUAGAUUUGUAGCUAUUUAAUCAUGCUUUGAUUUUAUUUAGUCAUAUGUUAUUCUGUAGUUUCCUAGUCAUGUUCUAUGUUCUUAACCUGGAUCAAUCUUAUGUUAGUUUAGAGUUAUGGCUGUUUGACUAUGUUCUACAUGCCUAGUUUAGUCUAAAUCAUGUUAGUGUGCUACUGGUAUGCUCUACAGAUCUGUUUGUUUAGAUAGUAUGACCUGAACUCUAAUUUUAGUGUGCUUCAAGAUGAUAUAAGCUUGUUUGGGAUUAAACCAACUUCUGAUAGCCUGUUUAAACUGAUUUGUGAAUCAUGUAUCCUUAUGUAUUAGUUGGAUAGGAAGCCUUUAUAUGCAAAUGAAUUUGAGAAACUAUUUAAGAUUCCCGUCCACUUGUUUUAAGCUUAUCUUCACUUAUCUCAAGCUAUGUUGCUCGGACUCGGUGUCGAGUGUCGGAUACAGGUACGGAUCUAGAGGUCGGAUUCGGCAUAAUCUAAAUUUUAAGAUUCGGGGGUACAGAUCCGGGUGCGGAUACGGGUUCGGGGAUUCGGCUAAAAUAAUUCAAAAUUAUAAGAAAAAUAACUAAAUCUAUGCCUAGAAAUAAAAAACAAAAAAUAAUUUUUUAAUAGUUAUGUUUCAUUUAUAAUUAAAUAUUAAUUUUUAAUUAACUUGAAACUCUUCUAGAUACAAUAAGUGUCCACUCUUCAAGAGCUCUCCGUUUCUUUCAAUUUGGCCUCAAAUUUUUUCUUAGAUUGGCCCAUGGAUUCGGUCAAAGUAUCCAAUGUCGUUUGACCAGAUCCGACACGAAUCCGGUGUCGGUGUCGUGUCGGACACGGGUGCGGUAGCAAAAGUGAAGGGUCCGAGCAACAUAGAUCUCAAGUACAAAACUGAUAAAGAGAUGUUAAUACUGAAUAAAUGAGUCUUAGUUUCUUGAAUAAACACUCUCCUUGCAUUGUCUCUGUGUUAUUGGAAUGACUUGUGAUCCUUGAUGCAUUAGAGGCAGUCCAAAAUGCUUAGUCCAUUUCCAUGUGUUGAUUAAGAUCACUGUUAUACCUGUUGGAUAAUUCAUGACAUAUUUUGAAGUAGCAGCAUGCCUUUAUGUCCUCGAAUGCCUCUGUUCUACCAGUGUUAAUCUGUGUGUGUCAUCCUGUAUAAGAAAUGUGACUCAGCCUACUCUAUUUCAAGAGGAAAUGUUUUCUGUUGAUUUGAGUAUAUGAUUAAAAUUCUAAAAAUGGCAUGAACUCUUUUGUAAAUCAAACAUGGCAUACCUCAAACUCUGUUCUUGCCCUAUGAAACUUUGCAUAUCUGUAUUUAAGUUUGCAUCAGAUCCUGCUGCAUCUCAAAAUAAAUGGUGAUGUCUUCCGUGACCUGUGUGUAUAAUCUCUUUGCUUAAGUUCAUCUCUUUAUUUCCUUAAAUGUAAUGCUACCCCUUUGCAUAGCCCCCAGAUCCAUCUUAGUUGUAGAACUUGAUUUGGUGGAGCCUGAUAUCUGAAACCUUGUAGUGUCUUGUUACUAAGGCUAGUUUUUAUCACACUAUAGACCCUUCACUUUCUCAAAAAUGCCUUACA